rnacentral:misc_RNA from 1 species
GUUUGAGUUGAGUUGAAUUAUAUCCAGAAAAUCAAAAUUUCAUAAAAUGCACUUGACCUUGUAAACUUUGAAAAAUUAAUAUUAUCAGAUGUGUUCAAUUUUAAGUGCUUGAUCAAGCUAUCAAAUCUCAUUGUGAAUAAAAUGAUUUCAAAAAUAAUAAAAAGUGCUACAUUUUCUCCAUGUGCAACAUAUGGGCUAGUAGGCUAGUACAAUAUUUUACCCUACUAUUUUCUAUUUGAUGUCAUCGGAGAGAUUGAGUUGAUAGUAUGAAACCAUCAAUUCCUUUGAGACAACUCUCAUAUUGGGUUAAAGUAAUUGAUAUGAUUGCUGAUUGUUGGAUUUUUUCUACUAGACAGUAAUAUAUUUGGAUUAUACUAGUGGCAAGAGAUACUCCCGGAUGACUUGUAGGUUAGGCUAUUUAUGACUGGUUGUGGGUAGAGUUGAAAGUUAGGACAACAGCAGCCUGUAAAUAAGUACUAUAGGAAGCAAAAUUGCUCAAUGAAGGACACGUCAGUCUUUGUCCUCUUAGAAAAUAGUGUUAUGGAUUUUGACAUUCAUCAUUAAUGGCUUCUGUUUUAGAUUUAAGUGUUUUUGUUGAACAGGUCUAUUGAUUUUUUGGGUAAGUCUAUUUGUUUUGUGUUACUUUUCGUAAUGGUUAGAUUAUUGACUUUGGACUUACGUUUUGAAGAUGUUAAAUUUGGUUCAAUACUGAU